UAAUCUAUGGGACGCAGCAGUGGGGAAUAUUGCGCAAUGGGCGAAAGCCUGACGCAGCGACGCCGCGUGAGGGAUGAAGGUCUUCGGAUCGUAAACCUCUGUCAGCAGGGAAGAACGGUCACUGUGCUAAUCAGCAGUGAAUUGACGGUACCUGCAAAGGAAGCACCGGCUAACUCCGUGCCAGCAGCCGCGGUAAUACGGAGGGUGCGAGCGUUAAUCGGAAUUACUGGGCGUAAAGCGCUCGUAGGCGGUGUGUCAAGUCAAGUGCGAAAUCCCCGCGCUCAACGUGGGAA
rnacentral:rRNA from 1 species